rnacentral:rRNA from 1 species
AUUGAACGCUGGCGGCAGGCUUAACACAUGCAAGUCGAGCGAGCGGCGGACGGGUGAGUAAUGUAUGGGGAACUGCCCGAUGGAGGGGGAUAACUACUGGAAACGGUGGCUAAUACCGCAUACUAUCAGAUGAACCCAUAUGGGAUUAGCUAGUAGGUGGGGUAAUGGCUCACCUAGGCGACGAUCUCUAGCUGGUCUGAGAGGAUGACCAGCCACACUGGAACUGAGACACGGCCCAGACUCCUACGGGAGGCAGCAGUGGGGAAUAUUGCACAAUGGGCGCAAGCCUGAUGCAGCCAUGCCGCGUGUAUGAAGAAGGCCUUCGGGUUGUAAAGCACUUUCAGCGGGGAGGCGUUACCCGCAGAAGAAGCACCGGCUAACUCCGUGCCAGCAGCCGCGGUAAUAC